UUCAACAUGUGUGAAAAUCUUUCAAAAUUCAUCAAUGGAUAAUUCAGCUAGCAAACUACUCAAAUCAUAUCUGUUGCACCUAACAGGGAAAAGGAUGUUGAUGAGAAUAACCACAGAAACCAACAUUUUUCAGAAAAAGGAAAUUGCUGUACCAGUCUGCUAGGAAAAAUUUGUAUCUUUGUCUCAUAAUCUGUAAUCCUGAUAAUUUACAUAGGAUUGAACAAAAACCAUAUAAACUAGCUGCAAACAGCAAAUUGCUGAUUGAGUCUCAUUGGUGGAACCACACUAGUAUUAAGACAUGGCCUAACUAUGGAGCUCAGGAGCGCCUUCUCAAUCUCUUCAGAGGCAUCUCUCCUAAUCAAACACAUCACGUACUCCAUCACUGAGGCAUCACAAGGCAAUGUGAUCUUGUUGUUGCUUGCAAAGCCAAACUCCUCUUGAGACACCCUUAAGAGCUCACAGAAGAUCGCCGUGUUGAGGUACAUCAGUGGAACCUCGAAGCGUGCCCCAUCAGUGGUGUACAACACACAAUGGCCCUUGUCUGCGACAUACGCUGUGGCUGUGCUGCAGCAUCCAUCGAUGCUUGCAGUCUGCCGCCCACUGGAUGCCACCAUCCUCUGCCACUUCUUGCCCAAUUGAGCAAGCUUCCUUGAACUGAUCAUGGUUCUUCUGUGUUCUUGGCUAAAUGAACUUUUGCUCUGAAGGAAUGAAGUAGAGACGCUUAGAUUGCUAUACUGUUUGCAGAUGAAGUGGUUGUGUUGAGAAGGCAAUGGAUUUAUAGGUGAAGGAAGAGAGGACAGUGCAUGGGCAGCCAAAGUGGUAGGCAGGACCAGAGGAGACAUAGCCACGAAUGUUGCCGCGCAACUGUUCCAGUUGGAGACGGUGUGAUAUUGAGAUUUAAAUGGGACUGGAUGUUCACUGAGCGACGGAGCCACUGCAACUGAUUCGAUGAUUGGUGAUGUACUGUAGUACUGACUUGUACACUAGGU
rnacentral:sRNA from 1 species